CGUCCAGCCUACUCCCUAUUUCCCAAAUUUCAACACAAAUCAUUAGUGAGGAAAGUCAAAAGAAAAACAUAGAAGAAAUACGCGUAAAACGAUUUUCGUUUUUUAGGACAUUUGAUUCCUCCAUGGCUCUCCUUUAAAUUUGUUCUGUUCCUCCAAAGUCUUCGAUGUCGUUCUUCGAGUGCGGAAGUCAGUGCUCUUUCAUGAUCGUUUUCGUCCCUGUUUUGCUUCACCUCGAAAGGACUCCACUCUCGCAUAUCCUUGAGCCGCAUCAAGUUAGCCUUAUUAUCAAUAGGAGAAUGGUGUACAGGUCCAGAAGUUUAAAGAAUUGAAGAAAGUCGAAGAAGUUGGAUUAGAAGCCCCCACCCCUUUUAUUUUUCAUGUUAUCUAUUUUUCAUUAUGUAACAGGCCUAAGGACUUAUCGUUUUAUAGUAUUAUUUGUUUAGACUA